rnacentral:rRNA from 1 species
UAAUACCGGAUAGAUCAAAGAUACUGGAAUGUUCCUUGAUCCAAAGCUCCGGCGUCCAAGGAUGGAUCUGCGGCUUAUCAGGUAGUAGUGGGUGUAACGUACCUACUAGCCUACGACGAGUACGGGUUGUGAGAGCAAGAGCCCGGAGAUGGAUUCUGAGACAUGAAUCCAGGCCCUACGGGGCGCAGCAGGCGCGAAAUCUUUACAAUGCAGGAAACUGCGAUAAGGGGACCCCGAGUGCCAGCAUCUAAUGCUGGCUGUCCAGCUGUGUAAAUAGCAGUUGUUAGCAAGGGCCGGGCAAGACCGGUGCCAGCCGCCGCGGUAACACCGGCGGCCCGAGUGGUAACCGAUUUUAUUGGGUUUAAAGGGCCCGUAGCCGGCCUGUUAAGUCUCUUGGGAAAUCUGGCGGCUCAAUCGUCAGGCGUUC